GACGAACGCUGGCGGCGUGCUUAACACAUGCAAGUCGAACGGUGAACCCCUUCGGGGGGGAUCAGUGGCGAACGGGUGAGUAACACGUGAGCAACCUGCCCCUGACUCUGGGAUAACCCCGGGAAACCGGAGCUAAUACCGGAUAUGACACGCUCGGGCAUCCGAUGCGUGUGGAAAGAUUUAUCGGUUGGGGAUGGGCUCGCGGCCUAUCAGCUUGUUGGUGGGGUAAUGGCCUACCAAGGCGACGACGGGUAGCCGGCCUGAGAGGGCGACCGGCCACACUGGGACUGAGACACGGCCCAGACUCCUACGGGAGGCAGCAGUGGGGAAUUUUGCGCAAUGGGGGAAACCCUGACGCAGCAACGCCGCGUGGAGGAUGAAGUCCCUUGGGACGUAAACUCCUUUCGACUGGGAAGAUAAUGACGGUACCAGGAGAAGAAGCCCC
rnacentral:rRNA from 1 species